GACGAACGCUGGCGGCGUGCCUAAUACAUGCAAGUUGAGCGCACAGGGGUGGUACUUGUACCCCCUAGGUGAGCAGCGAACGGGUGAGUAACGCGUGGGGAAUCUACCUUUAAGCGGGGGACAACUUUGGGAAACGGGUGCUAAUACCGCAUAAAAACUUUAACCACAAGGUUCAAGUGUGAAAGAUGGACUUGCAUCCACCAAUGGUGGUCUCGCGUUGUAUUAGUUAGUUGGUAAGGUAAAGGUCCUCCAAGGGGACGAUUCCUAGCCGACCUGAGGGGGUGAUCGGCCACACUGGAAGUGAGACACGCGCCAUACUCCUACGGGAGGCAGCAGUAGGGAAUCUUCCGCAAUGGGCGAAAACCUGACAGCGCACCGCCGCGUGAGUGAAGAAGGUCUUCGGAUCGUAAAACUCUGUUUUUAGGGAAAAACAAAUGGGUGAGGGAAGAAGCCCUUCUUGACGGUACUUAAUCAAAAAAGAACGGCGAAAUACGUG
rnacentral:rRNA from 1 species